GCCCGCGGUGGCUCAGAGGUUAAGGCUCUGGGUUAGUGAUCAGAAGGUCAGGAGUUCAAGCCACCACCUAUGGGCC